rnacentral:rRNA from 1 species
UAAGUCUACUGUUAAAUGUUAAGGCUUAACCUUAAAAGAGCGGUAUGAAACUAAAAAGCUUGAGUUUUAGUAGAGGUAGAGGGAAUUCUCGGUGUAGUGGUGAAAUGCGUAGAGAUCGAGAAGAACACCAGUUGCGAAAGCGCUCUGCUGGGCUAAUACUGACACUGAGAGACGAAAGUAGGGGAGCAAAAUAGGAUUAGAUACCCUAGUAGUCCUAGCUGUAAACGAUGGAUACUAAGUGUUGGACUUGAAAAUAGUUCAGUGCUGUAGCUAACGCGUUAAGUAUCCCGCCUGGGAAGUAUGCUCGCAAGAGUGAAACUCAAAUGAAUGAC